rfam:Caenorhabditis brenneri strain PB2801 C_brenneri-6.0.1_Cont444.5, whole genome shotgun sequence.
GUCCCCGUGGCCUAGUGGAUAGCGCUUCUGUUUUAAAAACUUUCAUCGCGGGUUCGAACCCCACCGGGGGUA